CGCCAUUGGAUGAGCCCGCACUUGAUUAGCUAGUUGGUAAGGUAAUAGCUUACCAAGGCUACGAUCAAUAGCUGAUCUGAGAGGAUGAUCAGCCACAUUGGGACUGAGACACGGCCCAAACUCCUACGGGAGGCAGCAGUAGGGAAUCUUGCACAAUGGGGGAAACCCUGAUGCAGCGAUGCCGCGUGAGUGAAGAAGGCCUUUGGGUUGCAAAACUCUUUCGUCGGGGAAGAAAAUGACUGUACCCGAAUAAGAAGGUCCGGCUAACUUCGUGCCAGCAGCCGCGGUAAUACGAAGGGACCUAGCGUAGUUCGGAAUUACUGGGCUUAAAGAGCUCGUAGGUUGUUAGAAAAGUUGGUGGUGAAAUCCCAAGGCUUAACCUUGGAACUGCCAUCAAAACUUUUUAACUAGAGUGUGAUAGAGGGAAGCGGAAUUUCUAGUGUAGAGGUGAAAUUCGUAGAUAUUAGAAAGAACACCAAUUGCGAAGGCAGCUUUCUGGAUCAUUACUGACACUGAGGUGCGAAAGCAUGGGUAGCGAAGAGGAUUAGAUACCCUCGUAGUCCAUGCUGUAAACGAUGUGUGUUAGACGUUGGAAAUUUAAUUUUCAGUGUCGCAGCGAAAGCGUUAAACACACCGCCUGGGGAGUACGACCGCAAGGUUAAAACUCAAAUGAAUUGACGGGGACCCGCACAAGUAGUGGAGCAUGUGGUUUAAUUCGAAGAUACGCGCAGAACCUUACCAACACUUGACAUGUUCGUCGCGAGACCAAGAGAUUGGUUUCUUAAUUUAGUUGGACGAAACACAGGUGCUGCAUGGCUGUCGUCAGCUCGUGUCGUGAGAUGUUGGGUUAAGUCCCGCAACGAGCGCAACCCUCACUUUUAGUUGCCACCAUUUAGUUGGGCACUCUGAAAGAACUGCCAGUGAUAAGCUGGAGGAAGGUGGGGAUGACGUCAAGUCCUCAUGGCCCUUACGUGUUGGGCUACACACGUGCUACAAUGGCAUUUACAACAGGAAGCAAAACGGCGACGUUAAGCAAAUCCUAAAAAAAUGCCUCAGUUCGGAUUGUACUCUGCAACUCGAGUACAUGAAGCUGGAAUUACUAGUAAUCGCGGAUCAGCGCGCCGCGGUGAAUACGUUCCCGGGUCUUGUACACACCGCCCGUCACACCAUGGGAGUUGGUUCUACCUUAAGGCAAAGGUUAAAAACUUUGACCACGGUAUAGUCAGCGACUGGGGUGAAGUCGUAACAAGGUAGCCGA
rnacentral:rRNA from 1 species